rnacentral:tRNA from 1 species
UCCCUGAUAGCUCAGUUGGUAAAGAAUCUGCCUGCAAAGCAGUAGACCUCGGUUCAAUUCCUGGGUGGGGAA